rnacentral:rRNA from 1 species
AGAACGAACGCUGGCGGCAUGCCUAACACAUGCAAGUCGAACGCUCUUGGGGCUUCGGUUCCAAGGGAGUGGCGCACGGGUGAGUAGCGCGUGGGAACCUGCCCUGGAGUGGGGGAUAACCGAGGGAAACUUCGGCUAAUACCGCAUGCGCCCGGGAAACCGGGGAAAGAUUUAUCGCUCUAGGAGGGGCCCGCGUCGGAUUAGCUAGUUGGUGGGGUAACGGCCUACCAAGGCUUUGAUCCGUAGCUGGUCUGAGAGGAUGAUCAGCCACACUGGGACUGAGACACGGCCCAGACUCCUACGGGAGGCAGCAGUGGGGAAUAUUGGACAAUGGGCGCAAGCCUGAUCCAGCAAUGCCGCGUGAGUGAUGAAGGCCUUCGGGUUGUAAAGCUCUUUCGCACGCGAGGAUGAUGACGCUAGCGUGAGAAGAAGCCCCGGCUAACUUCGCGCCAGCAGCCGC